ACAUAGCCCUGCAGCCCCUUCGCUGGUUUUCUUCAAGAAUUUUCGUAGGGUUUCGUUUCUCUCUGUAAAAUCAUUUCCUCCCUCUCUCUCUCCCUCCCCCUCCUCUCGCUGAUCAAAACUCCAACUGAUUCUAUGUCAUGUUGCAGUAAUCUGCAACUAACCGAAUUCACCCUUUGACCCGAUCCUAGCUCCCCUCGCCCCUCCUCCCAAAAAGCUAGGGUUUUGCUGACCCCAUCCCCUCUCUCUAUAUCAUGCUUCCUAGGGUUUUCUCUCUCUCCCCCAAUCCCACCUAAUUCCCUUCAACCCUCCCUCAAUUUCGCUCCUUUCUCUCUCUCGCAAGUUCGAUCCUUUUUCAUGGCGUAUCAUCAUCCGUUCCCUGGUCCUGGCUCUGGAUCCGGGUCAAGCUCCAGCUCCGGCCUCCAUUUCUUGAGUUCCCCUUUUGGGGACACCACUUUCACCAAGGUCUUUGUUGGGGGAUUGGCUUGGGAGACGCAGAGUGAAACCCUAAGGCGGCACUUUGAGCAGUAUGGGGAAAUCCUCGAGGCCGUUGUCAUCUCUGAUAAGAAUACCGGAAGAUCCAAGGGCUACGGUUUUGUGACAUUUCGUGACCCAGAGUCGGCGAGGAGGGCGUGUGUUGAUCCUAGCCCGAUUAUAGAUGGGAGACGGGCGAACUGUAAUUUGGCUUCCUUGGGCCGGCCAAAACCAGCAACACCUUAUGCGCAGCUAAGGCCUACUGGCCCGUACUUUGGAAGUGUUCCUGUUCCUCGAGGGGCUUAUGUUGGAAGUUCCACAUUCCACCAAGCUGUUCCCUACGGCUACCACCAAGCUAUUCCAUAUGCACCAUAUGGGUACCAGGCCUAUGGAUCUGAAUAUGUUUACCCACAGAAUGUGUACAAUCCAUACAUGGGGCAGCAUUAUGUUCAAGUCUACGGUGUUCCAGGAACAGUGAAUGCAGCUGCAUAUCCAUACGGACAACUUGCGCAGCAACUUCCUGCUGGGCAUGGUUAUACUGCGGUCCAAGGUUACACCGUUCCUGGCCAUCACUUCAUGCAGCUUGGAGGUCAGAACAUCAAUGGAGUAACAGCUUCACCUAGGCCUGCAAUACAGGCACAGUAUCCUUCAGGGCUUGCAGCAGCAAUUCCAGCUCAUCCACAGUUCAUCAUUCCUGCACAUUCGCCACAGUUCACACAUGGCAGUGGUUCAGACCAAACAGUUGGUUGAGAGGAGCAUCACAGUGUAAAGCAUCUUGAGAUUGCAGCAGGACAAGAACAGCAGUGCUGCUUGAGUGGCAUGCUUAUCUUUUGCCUUGCAAGCUAUCAUCUUUGCAUUCUAAAGGUCUUCUGUAGUCAUGGUCACCAGAGAUACCACAAAGAGUCAGCGUCGAGUCUCGCUCCUGUGGAUGGAGCCCCUCCUAUGAAGCUUGAGAGCUCCUGAAACCGCUCUCGUUUCUUGCUUCUGCUGUCAAAAGUGUCUGUAAAAAUCCUCAUGCCCUGCUGGAGAUUGCAAUUGGCCCGGUGGAGUAUGAACUGAUGGUGGUGCCGGAAAUGGAGUCCGGCAACACCACCUUUAUAUAUAAUACAUAUAUGCAAAAAAAAAAAAAGAACAGAUGUAAAUAUACCCUAUAUCUGAAACGAUUCUUUCAGAGCCAGAACUCAAACUUCUGGUUGUAUUAUAGGGUAAGCCCCUUUGUUCAUGUGGUUCCUGGGAUGAUUUGGCCACUGGCCUUGUAGAUACAACAUUUAUGCGAUUCCCGAUCAAAUCUUGUUGAUAUGUACGUUGUUAGUUUCUAGCCUCUCUAAACUGAUGGGUAUCAGUUUGGAUCGGUGUAAGUAAGUGACUGCAGAACGUCCUGCAAGGUAACAGGUCUACUUUGUCACCUUAUCCACCAUUAGAUAUUGUAGUUCAAUCCCUAGUUUAAAGCUUUGUGAAUGGUCUGUAUGUAGUAAUCGAUGUUUAUUUGUGUAAAAUGUUUGGAUGUUGAGUUGGUCAUUGGUAUGUUGCAUUUGGUUCUAUCAGAUCUACCA